CCAGGGCCGGCCGAGCCGGUCCCCGGACGAGGGAGCCGUACCCGGAGCGCGACAAGACGGCCACG
rnacentral:ncRNA from 1 species